rnacentral:rRNA from 1 species
GCAGCAGGCGCGAAACCUUUCCACUGCACGCCAGUGCGAUAAGGGGACUCCAAGUGCGAGGGCCUAUCGUCCUCGCUUUUGUGUACGGUAAGGUGGUACACGAAUAAGGGCUGGGCAAGACCGGUGCCAGCCGCCGCGGUAAUACCGGCAGCCCAAGUGAUGACCGCUCUUAUUGGGCCUAAAGCGUCCGUAGCUGGCUGUUCAAGUCCAUCGGGAAAUCCGCGUGCCCAACGCGCGGGCGUCCGGUGGAAACUGUUCGGCUUGGGACCGGAAGACCUGAGGGGUACGUCUGGGGUAGGAGUGAAAUCCCGUAAUCCUGGACGGACCACCGGUGGCGAAAGCGCCUUAGGAGGACGGAUCCGACGGUGAGGGACGAAAGCUCGGGUCACGAACCGGAUUAGAUACCCGGGUAGUCCGAGCUGUAAACGAUGUCUGCUAGGUGUGACACAGGCUACGAGCCUGUGUUGUGCCGUAGGGAAGCCGUGAAGCAGACCGCCUGGGAAGUACGUCCGCAAGGAUGAAACUUAAAGGAAUUGGCGGGGGAGCACUACAACC